rnacentral:misc_RNA from 1 species
GAAAUGCGAUAAGUAAUGUGAAUUGCAGAAUUCAGUGAAUCAUCGAAUCUUUGAACGCACCUUGCGCUCCUUGGUAUUCCUUGGAGCAUGCCUGUUUGAGUAUCAUGAAAUCUUCAAAGUAAAUCUUUUGUUAACUCAAUUGGUUUCUACUUUGGUAUUGGAGGUCUUUGCAGCUUCACACCUGCUCCUCUUUGUUCAUUAGCUGGAUCUCAGUGUUAUGCUUGGUUCCACUCGGCGUGAUAAGUUAUCUAUCGCUGAGGACACUGUAAAAGGUGGCCAAUGUAAAUGCAGAUGAACCGCUUCUAAUAGUCCAUUGACUUGGACAAUACUUUUAUGAUCUGAUCUCAAAUCAGGUAGGACUACCCGCUGAACUUAAGC